GACGAACGCUGGCGGCGUGCUUAACACAUGCAAGUCGAACGGAAAGGCCCUGCUUUUGUGGGGUGCUCGAGUGGCGAACGGGUGAGUAACACGUGAGUAACCUGCCCUUGACUUUGGGAUAACUUCAGGAAACUGGGGCUAAUACCGGAUAGGAUCUCCUGCUGCAUGGUGGGGGUUGGAAAGUUUCGGCGGUUGGGGAUGGACUCGCGGCUUAUCAGCUUGUUGGUGGGGUAGUGGCUUACCAAGGGUUUGACGGGUAGCCGGCCUGGGAGGGUGACCGGCCACAUUGGGACUGCGAUACGGACCAGACUCCUACGGGAGGCAGUAGUGGGGAAUAUUGCGCAAUGGGCGGAAGCCUGAUGCAGCAACGCCGCGUGCGGGAUGACGGCCUUCGGGUUGUAAACCGAUUUCGACUGUGACGAAGCGUGAGUGACGGUAAUGGGUAAAGAAGCACCGGCUAACUACGUG
rnacentral:rRNA from 1 species